rnacentral:rRNA from 1 species
UACGUACGAGGCGAGCGUUAUCCGGAAUUAUUGGGCGUAAAGCGCGUGUAGGCGGCUUUGCAAGUCGGGUGUGAAAGCCCUCAGCUCAACUGAGGAAGUGCGCCCGAAACUGCAGAGCUUGAGUACCGGAGAGGAUGGCGGAAUUCCCGAAGUAGAGGUGAAAUUCGUAGAUAUCGGGAGGAACACCGGUGGCGAAGGCGGCCAUCUGGACGGAUACUGACGCUGAGACGCGAAAGCGUGGGGAGCAAACAGG